UGAUAAUGGCACAUGCGCCAGAUCCUGUGUUCUAGGAGUACUGCAUAUGAACAUGCACAGAUGUGUAUAUGGUUUGAUAACGCAUUUUCUUGGAACAACAUGCUGUGAACAACUUCUCAUGUCAAUAAAUAUAUAGAUCUGUAUCAACAUUUUCCAUCGUUGAACAGUUUAUUUGCACUUUGUUUUGUGUAAGUAAUUCCCUAUUGGUUAACUUUUAAAUUGUUUCCUUUGUUUUGCUAUUAUGAACAAUGCUAUGCUGAACUUCCUUAUAUGAUUAUUUUCUCAUACUAAAUUACUAGAAGUUGAAUUGUUGGGUAAUCUGUGUCAAAUUGAUAAGGAUACCUGUUGGAUGUAUUAUUUAUUUGUUUUAGCAAGAAGAGCAUUUUUCAUUUUGUGAAGUUCUCAAGAAUAUAUGAAAAAGAUAAUGCUUUAGACAUGUAGUCUGGUGUCUGAGUCAGAUUAAGUUCAGGUUCCAGUUUGGCCCCAGCUAUAUAGUCUCACUGCAGAAGGUAAUUGGUAAAGAUAGUGCCUACUCUGGCUUUUCACUAAAGUAGCAUACCGGAUUUUUAUAAGCUCUUUCUUGAAAAUGUAUUUGAGAGUAGUAUUAUAAAAAGGAAUAAAAUACUAGAGCUGCUCUUUUUUCUUCCUGUGUGUGAUUAUACCUUUCCCUAUUUAUUGAAAAGGAUUAAUAGAAACUUGUCCUUUUCCAUCUUGGCAAAUGCCUGAGUAUGAUUGCCAAAUCAGGCACUAAGGUAGAUAAGCUAUUUCUUUUUAUUAGUGGCAGUGAUCUUCCUUGGUAAAAUUUGUGGAUCUCUUGGGGUGAUUUACAUGGAACUAAAUAAAGGAAUUUCAGUAUAUCUAUGUAUGGAGUUACCAUUAUAGGUUUAACUCUAAUAGCAUAAAUGGUUGGCUAUGCCAGGAGGUCUCUAAACUAAUCCUAAUUGGGUUUUCCUCUGAAAAUGUUUGGAUAGCAUAAUUAUAGUUGCAGUGUGUGUUUUUUCCUUUUUGAGACAACAGACAUUUUUGGGCUGGCAGAAGUUUUUAGUAACCUUGUCAGGGAUGGAUUAUAAGAAAGACUCAUGUUACUAAUUUUGCUGUUUUAAUUUGCAAGAUAAAUAAUUAUGUGGGAAAGCUAAAAGAGAAUAUAGCAAUUUAUAAGGUCUGAUCUCUGUUUUUUUGGAGUUUAUAAUAUUAUAAAGGAUGUAAGAGAUGUGUACAAUUUAAUAGCCAGUCCAUAAUAAGUGUUAUUUUUAUAAUACAAAUAAAGCAGCAUAUAAUUUGGAAGAGAGGAAUUCUCUCUGUGUGAUCAGGGGAGCUUUUUCAUAGAAAAUGUCCCCUUUGUAAUAGACCUUGAAUUAUAAGAUUUCCAGGUGUUAAAAAGAGGGUUUGGGUCAGUAUGGAAAUAGAACACUUGUAUUCCUUUAGGAAGUUAGCCUGUGAAGGCAGAAUAGGAUCAGACUGAUCAUGGCCUUGAUUGUAAAGAGUCAAAUACAAUACUGUAGUGAGGCAGUCUGAUAUAAAGUCAGGUUUAAUUAGAAGAAGUUCAUUUGAGGGGCACCUGGGUGGCUCAGUUAAAUGUCCAACUCUUGGUUUCAGCUUAGAUCAUGAUUUCAGGGUCAUGAGAUCAAGCCCCACGUUGGAUUCCACAGAGUCUGCUUGAGAUUCCCUCUCCCUGUGCCCCUCCCCCUGCUUGUGCAUACCCUUGCUUUCAAAUAAAUACAAAAUCUAAAAAAAAAGUCCAUCUGAAUUAAAAUGAAAAUUAAAAGCCAAAAAAUAGAAAAUAAAAAUACAAUCAUUCCACACACAAAAAAAGGAGAAGAAGGCAGAUUGGAGGAGGCAGCUAGUUGAAGGAAUAUUGUUAGAAGAGGCCAUUGUGAGAUAAGUAGUUAUACUAGAAAAAUAGAAAGGAUUCUAAUAAGAUAUUUAUAAUUUUAUAAAUAUAUUUAUAUAUAUAUAUUUAUAUAUAUAAAUAUAUUUAUAAAUAUAUUUAUAAAUAUAAUAUUUAUAAUUGACUGAUUGAAUAUUCAACAUUGUUAUAGAGAAGUCAGGGAUAUUUCCCAGGUUUUCUCUGGGUGACUGGAAGAGUUGUGAUGCCUUUCCAAAACAGAAAAGGAAGGUGAAUCAAAGUGGAAGGGGGACUUCUACUCAGCAUGUAAAGAGUGGCACAUAAUAUCCCAUUCUUAUCUACAAUAACAAGCUGGAUGAUCUACAAAAUCAUAAUUUCUCUGAGCCCAUCAGAGAGCUCAGCUUGCAAAGCAGCCAAGUAACCUAAAUUCCAAAGAAUUGCACACCCCAUUGCCCCCAUAGAAUGGGUCAUUAAUUCUUUGACCUUUGGCAGAGCAUGAGAGAAAGAAAUUGCUUCCAUAAAAGUGGAUAAGAAGAAAUUGACUGGGGCACCUGGGUGGCUCAGUCAUUAGGCGUCUGCCUUCGGCUAGGGUCAUGAUCCCAGGGUCCUGGGAUUGAGCCCCACAUCAGGCUCUCUGCUCUGCAGGAAGCCUGCUUCUCCCUCUCCCACUCCCCCUGCCUGUGUUCCCUCUCACACUGUGUCUCUCUCUGUCAAAUAAAUAAAUAAAAUAUUAAAAAAAAAAGACAUCGAAAAAGUUUUAAUUGUUAAAGACUCAGUAUGAACUACUUUGGAGUACCUGAGGGCCCCAGAUGAAAGGGGAGUUCAUACAUGCUUGCAAAUACAUUUCCCUGGAACUCCACAGGGAGCAAGGCAGAGACCUGAGAAGUCAUUUUGGUGGUGAAGAGGUGAAAGAGGUAAUCUGUGGCACCUGGGAGAUAGGUGCAAGGCCCCUCUCAUUUACUCAGAUUCCUUUAAGCCUCAAACCAGUGAGGGAGGGGCAAAAAGCCUUAUUUCAUAAAUUUCUGGGGGGAGAUUAGAAGCAAAACCUUUCUGCUUCUGCAGGCAGGAAUCCUUUGGUGCACAGGGCCUACCUAAUACUGAGGCUGGACAGGGACAACUGAAAAUCCUACUUGCCCUACCACCAAGUAACAGACAAAAGCUUUCUACGGCUGGGGGAAGGUCAAGAAUAUAGAGAAAUCCAUGGGUGUUACACUUAACUAAUGAAUCAUUGAACACUACAUCAGAAACUAAUUAUGAACUAUACAGUGACUAACUGAGCAUUAAAAAAAAGAAGAAUAUAGAGAAAUCCCUAUGUGGUAGAGGUAUGCAGAAAUGGUUGAAAGCUGAGAGGAAAACAGGUAAAUUGAGAAAAACUCUCCAGCUCUUCAUCUCUCUUCUUUUGCACAAGAUAAUGGUAGGUCCACCAUUAGAAGAAUUUGAAAACUGUGGUGUGCUAAAGGUAACUAAAACAACAGUAAAAUCUGUACCAAGCUCAGUUCCUUUCUAAGUUGACUUAACCUGUCCACACUAAUGGCUUGACAGAAUAUACAUGCUGUGUUCCAAGUAUAAAUAAUAAUUAUCUCAGUCUCUGCAAUUCUGUACACCAUGCCUAGCAUUCAGUCAAAAAUUAUUGGACAUAAACAGAGCAAGGGAAAACUGGCACAUUGUUGAGGGAUCAACAGAAAGGAGACCCAGAUAUUGGAACUAUCAGGGACUUUAAACUAAUUAUUAUUGGUAUGUUAAAGGAUUUAGUGGAAAAAGUAGAUAACUUGAAUGAACCAGAGGAGGAAUUUUGGCAGAAAGAUGGAAACCAUAAAGAAUUUGAAGAUACUUCUAUUUGUCCAGAGAGUGAAAGGGUUCUAUAACUGAGGAAGGGAAAUUAGAAAAAACAAUGGUAUCAGAGAUGAAAUACUUACUCAGGGUGAUCAGUAGACUCAACACAGCUGAGGAAAGAGCGAUCAACUUGAAGAUAGUUCAGUAUAAAUUAUUUAAACUGAAAUAAAAGAUAAAGAGAGGUCAAACAGAAUAUCUUAAGAUGGGAAAAUAAAAGAUGGUAUAACAUAAAUAAAUUGGUGUCUCACAAAGAAAAGAGAACAAGAACAGAACAGGAAAAAAUAUUUAAAUAGAUAAUGGCCAAAGUUUUUUAAAAAUAAACAAGAUCAUAUUACGGGUCAAAGAAGAAGAAGCUCAGACAGUCCCAAGUACGCUAAUAAUAAUAAUAAUAAUAGGGAGUAGUAAUAAAAGAAAACACACCUAUACACAUCAUAGUUAAACUACUGAAAACCAGGGGCACCUGGGUGGCUCAGUUGGUUAAGCAUCUGCCUUCAGCUCAGCCCAUGAUCCUGGGGUCCUGGGAUUGAGCCCCGUGUCAGGCUCCCUGCUCAGUGGGGAAUCUGCUUGUCCCUCUUCCUCUGCCCCACCCUCCCCCCCCAGUCGUGCUCUCUCAGUCUCACUCUCUCUCAAAUAAAUAAAUAAAAUCUUAAAAAAAUAUAAACUAUUGAAAACCAAACAUAAUGAAGAAGUCUUGAAGACAGCCAGAAAAUUUUAACAAGACACAGGGGACUUUUUCCUUUCCGUGCCGCACAGUGGCAGGAUGGUGGUAAAGAUUUCUAAGAAGAGGAAGUUUGUCACCAGUGGCAUCUUCAAAGCUGAACUGCACGAGUUUCUGACUUGGGGGCUAACUACUCUGGAGUGGACGUCCAAGUUACACUAACCAGGACUGAAAUCAUUAACUUAGCCACCAGGAUGCAGAAUGUUCUUGCUGAGGAGGGCUGGCUAAUCCAGGAAUUGACCGCUGUGGUUCAGAAGAGGUUUGACUUCCCUGAGGGCAAUGUGGAGCUUUAUGCUGAAAAGGUGGCCACAAGAGGUCUGUGUGCUAUUAUCCGGGCAGAGUCUCUUGCUACAAACUCCUAGGAAGCCUUGCUGUGUAGAGGGCCUGCCGUGGUGUGGUGUGCUGUGGUCCAUCAUGGAGAGUGGGGCAAAGGCUGUGAGGUCAUGGUGUCUGGGAAACUCUAACGUCAGAGGGUUAAAUCCAUGAAGCUUGUGGAUGGCCUGAUGAUUCACAGUGGGGACCCUGUUAACUAUUAUGUUGACACUACCGUGUACCAUAUGCUGCUCAGACGGGGUGUGCUGAGCAUCAAAAUGAAGAUCAUGCUUCCCCAGGAUCCAAGUGGUAAGACUGGCCCUAAGAAGCCCCCACCUGACCAUGUGAGCGUUGUGGAACCCAAAGAUGAGAUAUUGUCCACCACCCCCAUCUUGGAACAGAAGAGUGGGAAGCCACAGCCAGACCCACAGUCUCCUUGGCAGCUGGAUCUGGAGUCUGGCUAUUACUCUGUGAAGACCCUUAAUAAAAUCUUUGAAAAAGACACAUGGCCUGAACAGAUUGUACAUUCACUAUUUGAACUGAGGAUUCUAUUGCCCAAAGGGAACAUGACUUCAUUUAUUCUUAGGGCUGCCUGGCUCAUGAUACUCCUGUGUUUUCCCUGAAAUCCUUGGUUUCAACUGUGAUUGUGAGGCAAGACCCAGAAUAGGAGGACCUACGCAAAGUUAACCAGAGGGAUAUCCUGUGGGGAGGUAACUGUGGCAAUGGUGAAGGCUGAUUGCUAACAGGACAGCACCUUGAUUAAUUCACUGCAGUUUGGGUUUAUAGGUUUAGAGAGGGACAUAUUUAAAAUGGUUUUCUUUACUUCAUGUAUAAGGAAAUCUGUAUUGCACAUAGACAAUAAAUAUAAUGCUCAUUAAAAAAAACCAAAAAAACACAGAGGAACAAAGAUAAAAAAUUACAGCUGACAUUUUACCAGAAAUGGUGCAAGCCAGAAGACAGUGGAGCGGCACUUUUAAAGUCCUAAGAGGGGGGGGGAAAAAAAGUCAACCCAAAUAAUAUACCUAGCAAAUAUAUCUUUCAAAAAUGAACGUGAAAUAGCUUUUCAGAACAAAAGCUGAGAAAAUUCAUUGUCAGCAGACCUGUGCUAUACGAAAGUUAAAGUUCUUUAGGCAAAAGUACUUGACAGAAACUUGCAGGGUUUUCAAAAGGAAACAAACAGGCCAGAAUGGUUUAAAAACAAAAAAAUAAAUAUAAAAUUCUCUUAUUUUCAUCACUUUAAGAGGUAAUUUCCUAUCUAAACAGGAGAGCACCAACCUUUUCAGCAAAGGGCUAGACAGUAAAUAUAUUAGAUUUUGUGGGCCAGUAUCUGUCACAGCCACUCAACUCUGCCCUUGUAGCGUCAGAUCAGCCAUAUUAUAAAUCAAACUACCUUGACUUCCUGGAAAACUUUAUUUGCAAAUAAGAGGUGGCAUGUCCUUGUUUGCUGAUCUCUGACCUAGAAAAAUCGUUUAUAGCAUAUAAAUUUAAAAUAUGACAAAACGGAGUGAAGUUUUUAGCAAAAACUUUUUUAGCAAGAAAUUACUGUAGAAUUGAAAAUAGUUUAUAACAAAUAUAAUAGAAAAAAUAUAAAGUAUCAAUAUAGUAGUUUCUAGUACAUAAGUAUAAUAGAAAAAUAUAUAUAAAAAUAUUAAAUAGAAAAAUAGCUUAUAACCUAUAAAAUUAAAAUAUAUGACAAAGCAGUGAAGUUUAUAACAAAAACUUUUUUUAACAAAAAAAUUACAGUAGAAUUGAAAAUAAACUUGAGAUCCUUAUAUCGCAUAUCAGAUCAUAAUAUAUGAAGUAGACUGUGAUCAUUUAAAAAUGCCUAUCAUAAAACUUAGGGGACCUACUAAAAAGUGGAGAAAGAUUUGGCUAAUAAGUCAAUAGUGGAAAUACAGUGGAAUCUUAAGAAUUAAUCAAUCUAAAAGAAGUAAGGAAAAGAGAAAAAGGAAAAAAUAAAUGGGACAAAUAAAAACGAGCAAGACAGUAAAUUUGAAUCUAUAUCAAUUAUUGCAUUAAAUAUAAAUCCUUUAGGGCUUAAAACAAGUCUCAAAACAUUUAAUAGCAUUAAAAUCAUUCAAAGUAUAUUCUUUGACUUCAGUGGCAUUAAACUAAAACUCAAUAACAGAUACUGGAAAAUCCUCAAAUAUUUGGGAAUUAAACAGCCUUCUAAAUAAUACAUGGGUCAAAGAACAAGUCACAGGAAAUUAGAAGCUAUUUUGAACUGAAUGAAAAUGAAAAUACAACUUAUCAAAAUUUGUGGAAUGCAGUUAACAUAGUGUUUUGAAGGAAACUUUUAUUUAUUUAUUAUUAUUAUUUUUUAGAUUUUUUUAUCCUAGAGAGAGAGCAUGAGUGGGAGGGGCAGAGGGAGAGGGAGAGAGAAUCCCAAGCAGACUCUGUGCUGAGCACAGUGCCCAGUCUCACAACCCUGAGAUCAGGACCUGAACCAAAACAGUUGGAUGCUUAACCAACUGCACCACCCAGGCACCUCUUGAAGGAAGCUUUUAAAAGCUAGAUAAAAAGAGCAAAUUAAAUCUAGAGCAUUCAGAAGAAAAUGAUAAAAGAAAUAAAUGAAAUGGAAAACAAAGUAAAUGAAACCAAGGGUGGUCCUUUGAAAAGAUCAAUUUAAUUGGAAUGUGUUUAACCACUCCAAUCAAGAAAAACAAAAUUACCAAUAUCAAGAAUGAAAAAUCCUAUACGAAUCCUAUAGACUUUAAGAGGAUAUAAGGGAAUAUUAAGAGCAACUUUAUGCCAAUAAGUUUAAAAAGAAGGUAAUAGAGCUGGUUUGUUCAGGAUGUAAAGCAUCAGUUUAAGAUGUGUUGGGUUUAGGUUAUAAUAGAAAACUAGGUAAAAAUGUCUAGAAUCAGAGGGCAGUUCAUGUCAGACGAUCAGGAAAGAGGUUGAAGAAGAGAACAACAGGCUUUGGUUUUGAUAAAUUUUAAGAGUUUUAACCAAACUCUUAUUACAAAUUAAGGCAGCUAAGUAUUUUAUUUUCUUAUAUGUAGAGAAUAUUGUGUUCCCAGUUUUUAUGUGGUAGUCUUUUACAGUAUUGUAAAUUAAAACUCCUUAACUCUCUCUUUAGUAAAUGGAGUUAUAAGGGAUCAUAUAUUAUCUAGUCUUACUUCUCUGCCUUCAUACGAUUGUCUUAGCUAGAGUUCAUCCUUGCAUAUUGUCUUGAAGAUCUGCAUGUAUACCAUUGCUAUAAUCUUUAGAUAAACUUUGUACCAUGUGUUUUUUUUUCUAAUGAUCAAAAAAUUCAUUCUUGUUUCUGUCUUAAACCACCACAGUUUUCUAUGGACUUACAUCUCAACCUCUUAUUUUAUAUACUUAAAGAUAGCAUUUAUUCCCUUACUGUUUUUUCCUUCUUAUCAUUUCCAGGUAUUUAAAUUAUUUCUAAUAGAACCUCUUCUAUUCUGCUGAUUCUAAAAAAAUCUCUUUAAUCUCUUUCUUGUGCACAUCAUUUAAAAAAUAUGGUGGCUUGGGCGACUGGGUGGCUCAGUUGGUUAAGCGACUGCCUUUGGCUCAGGUCGUGAUCCUGGAGUCCCAGGAUCGAGUCCCACAUCGGACUCCCUGUUCAGGGGGGGGUCUGCUUCUCCCUCUGACCCUCUUCCCUCUCGUGCUCUCUGUCUCUCAUUCUCUCUCUCUCAAAUAAAUAAAUUAAUUAAUUUUAAAAAAAAUAAAAAAUAAAAAAUAUGGUGGCCUAUAGGAAGCUGGGAAAAGAAACUUAAAUGCACUUUAUAAUAUUUGAAUGUAUGAAAAAGUGAAAUCACAAAUCAGUGUGGAUUGAAAGAUUCCUACAUUACAUGAUAUGUGGACAAUUGGUGAUUUGUAAAGAAUUAAAUUAUGUAUUUACCUUGUGUCAAAAUAAAAUAUAGAGUUAAAAUUUUAAUUGAAUCCUUAAAAAUGUUGAAAGAUGGCAGAAGAGUCUUGCCACUUGCUUUUACAUAUAAAAGAAGUAAGAAUACAGAUGGAAAGUUGGUAUUUUAGCGUAUAAAAAUGUAAUUCAUCUGUAUAUAAGUUAUGAGAACUACUCUAAAGAGACAAGGUAGGGAAGAAAUUUAAUAUUCUGAGUAUAUAAGAGUGCAUACAAAUGGAUAUGAUAAAAUAAUUAACAUAAACAUACAGUUCACAAUAGAGCAAAGGUAAUUUCUAAACAUGGCAAAUGUUCCACUUCACAAUCAAAGAUGUAAGAUUAAGUCAGUGAGAUGUCAUUUUUGCCUAAUGAAGAUUUUAUCUUUUAAUGAACAUUACAUUAUAAUGGUUGGCUAGGGUGUGGUUAGGGUUGUGCCUUUCUGUCACUCAGUGAAAAUAUAAACUGUUACAUCAUUUACUAAAACCAUUUUGACAAUCAUAUUUUAAAAAUUACCAACUCAACCCAUUAAUUGUUUUUUUAGGAAUUUUUUCCUAAGGAAGAAAUCAAAGAUUUGGACAAAGACUGGUUUAUAUCAGCAUUUGUAAUUUAAAAAGAAAAAAAUAGGGAUAAAUAGAGAAAGAAUAGGAAAGGACUUGUCCCCAAAUAGAGGAGGUAGUUAAAAUAAUUAUAGUACAACAUUGUGAUGGAAAAGUUACUUGGCCAUUAAAAAACCACUUCUCUGAACACUCUUUAAUGGUAUCAGAAAAAAUCUUAGGGUAUAAUGUCAAGUAGAGAAGUAAAAUACAAAACUAUAUAUACCAAAUAAUCUGAACUUAGUUUAAAAAAUUAUAUACACACAUUUAGACAUUCCCAUACCAAAAUGUUAACAGUGGUUAUCUUUGGUUACUAAUAUUUUUUCAAUUUUCUAAAAUAACCAUAUAUUCCUUUUAUGAUCAGUAAAGGUUUUUUCAUAACUUAAUACGAAAGCUACCUUUCAGUGCUGAAAUUUAGAAAAUAUACCAAACACAUAAUUUUGAGACUUCCUGCCAAAAACAUCAUAGAUGGAAGAAUUACAAACACUUCCCUUCAUAAGAGUUGGGUUGCAUUGCAGGAAGUAAACAGCAAUUUCCAGUAGACCUCACUCCUGCCCCUGAUUUGGUAGGACAAGUCCAAGAGGCUUGAGCAGCCUGAAGGAGGAAGGAUAGAAACUGGCCUACUUUGAGCCGCUUUCCCUUUGCAUUCAUUACCAUUUUGAAUCUCCAAGAGUAAAGUAGAAUGUGUGUAUAUAGCAUUCCCAGAUCUGUUUGACCAUGGAACUUUUGUCUUUUUUUAAGUAGACCCAUUACAAUCUUAAAGAGCACAAUUUGGGAAGCAUUGAUGUAGAGAUAUUCAAAGGAGGGUGGACAAAAUAGAGGUUGGCAAACAGUGGCCUUAGGCCAAGGCCAGCCAGCCUCCUGUUUUUGUAAGUAAAGUUUUAUUGAGACACAGCCACACUUGUUUACUGAUUGUCUGUGUCUGGUCUGUAGUUGUUUUCACACUGUACUAGCAGAGAUGAGUAGUUUAGACAGAGAUCAUAUGACCCACAAGCCUGAAAUAUUUACUCUGGCCCUUUACAGAAGGAGCUUGCCAAACACUGGCAUAAAUGAUAGGAAUCUUUCAGCCCUGAUAGUUUGUGAUUCUAAGUUAUUUCUGGUCAGUGGAAGUCUGUUUCAGGUAAAAGUUUUUAAAUGAAAAAAAGUUGGGAGUAGGUGGAAAAAGGCAGAAGAAGGGCAGGAGAGUCACAAAUACAAGAAUAACAGAAGAAAGUCAGACUUGGUGUGUGAAUAACUAGGAAAUACGCAAUGGUGACUGACUCCAAGGAGGAAUUGUUUACAGAACUGCAAACCACAGAGAGUUUGCUAGCACAUCUUUGUGGCUGAUAUCUGAGAGACAUUUAAGUGCUAGAAACACCGUGGAGUAAAUUUACUGAAAGUGGAGGGCGCCUGGGUGGCUCAGUUGGUUAAGCGACUGCCUUCGGCUCAGGUCAUGAUCCUGGAGUCCCAGGAUCAAGUCCCGCAUCGGGCUCCCUGCUCAGCAGGGAGUCUGCUUCUCCCUCUGACCCUCCACCCUCUCAUGCUGUCUCUCUGUCAUUCUCUCUCUCUCAAUAAAUAAAUAAAAAUCUUUAAAAAAAAAAAAAAUUCACUGAAAGUGGAAAGAGGGGCGCCUGGGUGGCUCAGUCGGUUAAGCCUCCAAGACUCUUGGUUUCAUCUCAGGUCAUGAUCUCAGGGUCGUGAAAUCGAGCCCCAAGUCGGGUUCUAUGCUCAGUAUGGAGUCUGCUCGUCCCUCUCCCUCCUCCUUUGCCCCUGCCCUGGCUCAUGCGUGUGGGCUCUCUCGCUUUCUCUCUCAAAUAAAUAAAAUCUUAAAAGGGGGUGGGGGGAGAAAUCUCUUGUGAUGGUGUUUACCUUCAUGCAUCUGGUUUAAAAAUAAUAUCAAAAGUAUUUGAGCAUCUUUGAGACCAAGUCUUAUUUCUGUAGAGGGAAUUUUCUGAUUCCUACUGGGUACUGGCUAUAAUAUUGGCCAUCUGCCUGCUGGCUAGUGCUUGGUUGCAAGAAGGUACUUCGGAGCACCCACAAUUGGCCUGUGAUAUAAUUUGGACAGCAUAGUUUUUAAGUUAAUUAUCACCUUUGAAUGUAAAAUGAAAUUUUUUAAUUAUAGUUAAAAUAUAUAAGACACUAAGAACAGGGUCUUAUAUAAGCAACAACACUAGGAAGCAAAAUUUCUAAUUGGAAAGUAGAAUUCGAGAAUGAGUAUGUUUCAAACAUACUUUCUUUUUAUUCCUCCAGCUUUAUUGAGAUAUAAUCCACAUU